CUUUGAUUUUAGAAGAACGAAUUAAGGCACGGCCAACGAAACAGUCCUUGGGGGUUGGUAGAAUCAGGGUAGAGUCCUGGAGUACCAAAACGGAGCCCUUCUAGGCUUUAAUCUCACACUACAUCUCCCAGAAUUCCGCUCUCCGGGUUCCACCCUCUCUGAAGCGACCGCGCGUGCGCAAGGCCGGUGACUGCCUAUCCUCCCAGGCCCACAACCCUCCGAGACUCCGCGCGCCUGCACCCCCAGCGCCGCGAUCGCUCCUUCCAGGCCCUCAGUCCGUCCACUGGGGGCGCGCGCAGUGCGUGGCAGGCAGUAUCGGCGCUGGCGGCUGAGAGCGCGGGUCGCGUGGCGGUGCGUGGUUGCUAGGGGCGCCUGAGGCCGCCCACUCGCCCAGCAGGCCAAAGGGAGGAAGCAACGCGGAGCCGGCGCCUUGCCGGGGCGAAGCUGGGUCCACUAGAUGCUGUCAUGAAAGCAGUCGCAUUGUUCCCUGCAAUCGUGAAAACGGGAGAAUAUUUUGUGCAUUUGAUUUAGAAAGCCAACAGACUUGAAGGAUGCAGCUGCUGCUACUGGAGGUGUGUGGCAUCUUACCUAAGCCGGGCCAUGAGGCCAUGUGGCCAUGAUGUGGGCCCCUCAUGCUCAGCAGGA